UUUUAUUACACUUUCAUGGUCCUGAAAAGCAAAUAGCAAUAGCAGAAACCAUAAGCAGGAUGAUCAAAAAAUAUAGAUUAACUUAUGUCUUAAAGGGUAGGGCUGAAAAGACCAGUGUAUUUGUAUUUCCUGAUAAACAGGAAGAAUAGGCACAUUGCUAUGUAACAAAUGAACCUAAAGAUAUUGCAGUUCAGGAGCCCAAGCACAUGGCUUUAAGAACGAAGUGGUCAAACAUUCAAGAGGGAUUUCCAAUAUGUAGACGGAAGAAUACGUUCAAACCACAGCACAGUUCCCUAAACAGGAGCACAUUUUUGGUUUUUCAAAAAUGCUGUAUAGGUCUACAGGUCACCAUAACUACUAUUUAAUGAAGUGAAGAAAUCUGAUCACUAUUCAUAUUAAGCAGUGAAUUUCUCUUAAGUAUACCCUCCACAUCAAAAUGCCACAUAGACAUAUGAACAUUUAAUUGAAAAAAAAAAAUGUUCAUUAAGCUAAUUAAGACAUUUAG
rnacentral:misc_RNA from 1 species